rnacentral:rRNA from 1 species
CCUACGGGUGGCUGCAGUGAGGAAUAUUGGUCAAUGGGCGGAAGCCUGAACCAGCCAUGCCGCGUGAAGGACGAAGGCGUUCUGCGUUGUAAACUUCUUUUAUCUGGGAAGAAACCUACGAUUUCUAUUGUAGCCGACGGUACCAGAUGAAUAAGCACCGGCUAACUCCGUGCCAGCAGCCGCGGUAAUACGGAGGGUGCAAGCGUUAUCCGGAUUCACUGGGUUUAAAGGGUGUGUAGGCGGGCUUGUAAGUCAGGGGUGAAAUCCUACAGCUU